CAACUGAAAAAAACACAAACUAAUAUGUGAUUUGAAAUACAAUUUUUUUAUAAUCUUUUCAUAACAAAGUAAAUAACUUUUUCUUUCUUUGAAUCAACAAAAUGUUAGCCGUUUCCAUGACGAUAAGACGUGUGUGUCGUGUGCAGAGAGUCAAAAGAGAAUCAUUAGUUCCAUGAGAAAAACAUUUGUUGGACAAGGGCCGUUUUGUUGAUUACCAACAUGUCUUGUCACUGUGGAAAGACUGAGGGUGUCUCCCAAAUUGCGCCCUAUGAGUCCCGGUCAAUAGAAUAGAACUAUAUAGGGAUUUAGGGCUCCAUUCGGGCUAGAUACCCCUAGGCUACUUCAAACAAUGUGAAAGUAGGAAUAUACCAUAAAUGUUUAAAAUACUUUAUUUUCUGUUUUCUUUUUUUAAAGAAGAAACAAACACUUGUGAACUAAAGGCUCUAUUCAGUGGCUAAAGCCCGAAGCGUAACAGAUUGAGUGAUACACAUGUAAAGGCCGUUUCCAAUACGGCCGAUAACAUGCGCCGUUUACUGUGAACGCAGUCGCCGCUAACAUUACCGUGACAUUUAAAUCUAUUAUAAAUGUAAAUCUUUAAACGCUGUAACGCUGAACUUCAGAGUGGAUAGAGUCCAGCCCUUUAGUCAGCGAAAGAUACACAACCCCUCUCUCUUUAGUGUUUACUAUUGGCCAUUUAUCUCUACUCAGUCUCAUAGGUCCCCUGUUACCUAUAUAGUGUUUCAGAUGUCCAGGUCCAAAGUAGUGCACUAUGUAGGGAAUAGGGUUCCAUAGGGCUCUGGUCUAAAGUAGUGCACUAUAUAGGGAAUAGGGCCCUGGUCUAAAGUAGUGCACUAUAUAGGGAAUAGGGUUCCAUAGGGCUCUGGUCUAAAGUAGUGCACUAUAUAGGGAAUAGGGUUCCAUAGGGCUCUGGUCUAAAGUAGUGCACUAUAUAGGGAAUAGGGUUCUAUAGGGCUCUGGUCUAAAGUAGUGCACUAUAUAGGGAAUAGGGCCCUGGUCUAAAGUAGUGCACUAUAUAGGAAAUAGGGUUCUAUAGGGCUCUGGUCUAAAGUAGUGCACUAUAUAGGGAAUAGGGCCCUGGUCUAAAGUAGUGCACUAUAUAGGGAAUAGGGCCCUGGUCUAAAGUAGUGCACUAUAUAGGGAAUAGGGUUCCAUAGGGCUCUGGUCUAAAGUAGUGCACUAUAUAGGGAAUAGGGUUCCAUAGGGCUCUGGUCUAAAGUAGUGCACUAUAUAGGGAAUAGGGCUCUGGUCUAAAGUAGUGCACUAUAUAGGGAAUAGGGCCCUGGUCUAAAGUAGUGCACUAUAUAGGGAAUAGGGCCCUGGUCUAAAGUAGUGCACUAUAUAGGGAAUAGGGUUCUAUAGGGCUCUGGUCUAAAGUGGUGCACUAUAUAGGGAAUAGGGUGCCUUGUAUCUGUAGUACUAUAAGGAGACAUAUUUAGUACAGACUUGUGGAUUUGAUUGAAUAAAACUGACUGUAAAAUCUUAUUAAAAAAUAGACUGUUUCAUACAAACAAACCAUUUCUGACGAAACAGUUGAACUCAAACCAAGCUUGAAUAUUUGGUUGUAAACGUGUCGAUGUUAAUGAUGCCGAUACAGUAUUAAUAAGGAACGUUGUUGAAAAGGAACUUAAAGACACACGUAAAAAAUAAAACAUUAAAAUACAUGGUAACAGGGAGAACACCCAUUGAAUGGUGUCUGGUAACUAUGAGGAAUGGACAUAGGGUGUUCUCUUCCUUGGGAUUCCUCCAAAACGGAACCCUAUUCUCUGGUCUAAAGUAGUGCACUAUAUAUAGGGAAUAGGGUUCCAUAGGUCUCUGGUCUAAAGUAGUGCACUAUAUAUAGGGAAUAGGGUUCCAUAGGGCUCUGGUCUAAAGUAGUGCACUAUGCAGGGAAUAGGGUUCCAUAGGGCUCUGGUCUAAAGUAGUGCACUAUGCAGGGAAUAGGGUUCCAUAGGGUUCUGGUCUAAAGUAGUGCACUAUAUAGGGAAUAGGGUGCCAUAGGGCUCUGGUCUAAAGUAGUGCACUAUAUAGGGAAUAGGGUUCCAUAGGACUCUGGUCUAAAGUAGUGCACUAUAUAUAGGGAAUAGGGUUCCAUAGGUCUCUGGUCUAAAGUAGUGCACUAUAUAUAGGGAAUAGGGUUCCAUAGGGCUCUGGUCUAAAGUAGUGCACUAUGCAGGGAAUAGGGUUCCAUAGGGUUCUGGUCUAAAGUAGUGCACUAUGCAGGGAAUAGGGUUCCAUAGGGCUCUGGUCUAAAGUAGUGCACUAUGCAGGGAAUAGGGUUCCAUAGGGCUCUGGUCUAAAGUAGUGCACUAUGCAGGGAAUAGGGUUCCAUAGGGUUCUGGUCUAAAGUAGUGCACUAUAUAGGGAAUAUGGUGCCAUAGGGUUCUGGUCUAAAGUAGUGCACUAUAUAGGGAAUAGGGUUCUGGUCUAAAGUAGUGCACUAUAUAGGGAAUAGGGUUCUGGUCUAAAGUAGUGCACUAUG
ensembl:lncRNA